rnacentral:rRNA from 1 species
UACGUAGGGGGCUAGCGUUGUCCGGAAUCAUUGGGCGUAAAGAGCGUGUAGGCGGUCCGGUAAGUCCGCUGUGAAAGUCGGGGGCUCAACCCUCGAAUGCCGGUGGAUACUGUCGGGCUAGAGUGCGGAAGAGGUGAGUGGAAUUCCUGGUGUAGCGGUGAAAUGCGCAGAUAUCAGGAGGAACACCUAUUGCGAAGGCAGCUCGCUGGGACGUAACUGACGCUGAGACGCGAAAGCGUGGGGAGCAAACAGG